rnacentral:lncRNA from 1 species
AAAAAAUUCAAGAUUACAAAUUAAAACGUUUAUUUAAAUCAGAUUUUUACAUAAAUCACCAGAAUAAUUUGUUUUUUCAUUCAUGUCAGGCCAACGAUGACCAAAUGAAGUCAAGGAUAGGACAGUUUAUCUAACUUAGUAAAUGUUAAUAAUGACAUCUGAGCUUAAUUAUGAGGAUAAUUUUGUAAAAUCAGAUGAGUUUGGGGCUUUGUAGAUUAUUGUAUUUUCAUCUUAUUUAUGAUUACAGACAGGCUUCAUGGCCCACCUAUUUACCUAUGGUUAUUGAGAACUAGGAUCUUUAUUUGUUCUUAUAAAGGACUAGCCAUCAUAAUGAUGGGAUAAAAUCUAACAGAACAGGGCAAAGUGGUACAUAAGAUGUUCCCCCCGCCCAGAAUCGAGUGUUAGUUAAGGCAAAUUUGGGGGGUCCUGGGAUUAUAUUAAGUUUUUUAAAGUUGGUAAAACCAUUCAAAUCAGUUAUACUUCUAGGAGACAAUGGUUUGGUAAACCUGACUCUAUAAUGGCCCUGAGAAGCAAAAGAUACAUGUAUUCCUGACAAAGUGAGCAUUGACUUCUCUGCUCCUUAACUGUUUCUGCUCCAUCCAACAGGCAUCAUGGAUUUGAGCUCAGAGAAAUAUUGCAAGGAAUAGAUGGCAAUGAAAACAAGCACUCUCAGAAGAAAGCCAAUCCACACCGGAGCACGGCUUUUUAAGACGGAUAUAAUUUGGUGAUGGUAUUGUGAUAUAUGCGGAUAUGACACCACCAAAUUCUGCUUUAAACAGAAGAUGGAGAAGGGAGUUCGCAUCUAUCAUAUACCUACCACAUGCACGUGUCUACAUCUCCUAAGAAAUGGAAGAACUCCCAGUCACAACGAGCCAGACCAGAUUCCCGCAGUCAUUCUGUUUAAUGCUUCGAUGGAGGAGAAUAUUUCUGAGAGCAAAAUACUACCUUCUCCCUGCCUCUGGGACUAAGGAAAUAAGAAUGGUGUUAUUUCUCUAACCACAAUCAUCUUUUCCUCACCCUUAGUGGAUCUAUGGAAGCUACUGCUUGGGAGACUCAUCUGUAUUAAAAAGAGCAAGCUUAUGCAUUGAAACCCAGAAUGUCUUACACCAUCAGCUGACUCACCAACCUAGUUCUCUCCUCCAUUCAGAGGAUAGAAUCCAUUUAACACCAUCUCAUUUAAACGUAACCCUAUUCUUUCCCCCACUUCCUAAGACUAUAACAUCUGAAUUGAGAAGUAUGUAAGGCUCACCUCCUUCACAAAAAGACAUUUGUAAUAUAAAUGAAUGAAUCAAUCAAGGCAUGAAUGAAUAAUGAAUUCUUUUCAAAGUUAGGGCAAGACUUGAAAAAGGUGACAAGUUAUUUCAACAUCUAUAUUCCUUGUCUCUACAUAUGAAGAUGUGCUGUAGCGUCAAGAGUGACUAUAAUGACAUAAGUAAGGGAAAAUAAAGCAGAAAAAAUUGGCA